UAGGGAAUCUUCCACAAUGGACGCAAGUCUGAUGGAGCAACGCCGCGUGAGUGAAGAAGGUCUUCGGAUCGUAAAACUCUGUUGUUAGAGAAGAACACGAGUGAAAGUAACUGUUCAUUCGAUGACGGUAUCUAACCAGCAAGUCACGGCUAACUACGUGCCAG
rnacentral:rRNA from 1 species